AGAGUUUGAUUCAUGGCUCAGGAUGAACGCUAGCGGGAGGCCUAACACAUGCAAGCCGAGCGGUAUUUGUCUUUCGGGACAGAGAGAGCGGCGUACGGGUGCGGAACACGUGUGCAACCUGCCUUUAUCAGGGAGAUAGCCUUUCGAAAGGAAGAUUAAUAUCCCAUAAUAUAUUGAGUGGCAUCAUUUAAUAUUGAAAGCUCCGGCGGAUAGAGAUGGGCACGCGCAAGAUUAGAUAGUUGGUGAGGUAACGGCUCACCAAGUCAGUGAUCUUUAGGGGGCCUGAGAGGGUGAUCCCCCACACUGGUACUGAGACACGGACCAGACUCCUACGGGAGGCAGCAGUGAGGAAUAUUGGACAAUGGGUGAGAGCCUGAUCCAGCCAUCCCGCGUGAAGGACGACGGUUCUAUGGAUUGUAAACUUCUUUUAUACUGGGAUAAACCUACUCUCGUGAGAGUAGCUGAAGGUACAGUAUGAAUAGCAUCGGC
rnacentral:rRNA from 1 species